UAGGUAACCUGCCUUGUANCGGGGGAUAACUAUUGGAAACGAUAGCUAAUACCGCAUAACAAUGGAUGACACAUGUCAUUUAUUUUGAAAGGGGCAAUUGCUCCACUACAAGAUGGACCUGCGUUGUAUUAGCUAGUAGGUGAGGUAAUGGCUCACCUAGGCGACGAUACAUAGCCGACCUGAGAGGGUGAUCGGCCACACUGGGACUGAGACACGGCCCAGACUCCUACGGGAGGCAGCAUG
rnacentral:rRNA from 1 species